AAAGAGAGAGACAGAGGGGCACAGGUAUAAAAAUGGCAAUGAAUAAAUACCUAUCAAUAAUAACCUUAAGUGUAAAUGGAUUAAAUGCUCCAGUCAAAAGACACAGAAUAACUGAAUAGACAAGAAAGCAUGACACACACAUAGGCUGCCUAUAAGAGGCCCACCUCAG